rnacentral:lncRNA from 1 species
CAUAGAUGUCGCUAGUUACGAAAAAGUUAAUUAUAUGUACUUUAGAUGUAAUCGAUAUUUUCGAUCAAUCGUUAUCGAACUAUUGAAUAUUGGGAAUUAAACUCGAGCGUGCAGAGUUUAGAUGCGUAUAUUAAACAUAAUGAAAAAUCAUCUAACGAACAAUUAAUUGAAAAUAAAAAUGUAUCAAAACGUCGGAUCAGAUUAUUAAAAUAUAUCGAUCGUUUAAUCGAAGCCAUCGAGAGGGAAGAAUUUAAAAAAAAGGAAGCGUUUGAAUAUUUAAAAGCAUCAAACGAAACCAUGAAAAAAACUAUCUCUAAAUUACAAGAUUCUACAAAUCGAGAAAACGCACACGUGGAAUUUCAAAGACUGGAUAAUCUGAAUACCGAAAGACUUUUAAAGAUUGAUCCUAAAGUAUUUUAAUUUAUUUCGAAAUUACUAUCGUCUUAACAUAAACCUCAUUAAAUAUAUUUUUUUUCCCGCAUCAUAACUGUAAUCAAUAUCUACAUUUGGAUAUACGUAAAUAAAUGUAGUAAAGCUUGGAAAAUAUGAUAGGAAUACGUAGAAACUAAAAUACGGAAAAGAAAUAUAUUCCCUCCAAUGCAUUUAAAUAAAUACGGUAAAGUUUGAAACGUACAAAAAAAAAUAUAUAGAAACUAAUAUACAGGACUAAAAAAAAAUAAAAAAUCAAACCAAUAUCAUGAAUUUUAUCAUCCUCUACAUUUGGAUACAUUUAGAAAAAAUAUAGUAAAAUUUGGAACGCUAUAAAAAUACACGUAUAAGUAUACACACCUAUACGUGCACAAAACCAACCCCUAUUCGAUAAUUUCCCUACUUAUGGGAUUAAUCUUUAUACGAUGCAGUGAGAUGGGUUUUCGAUAGAUCGAUACGCCAGCUGACACACAGGCACGCGUUUCUAAGCCGCUUAUAACGAUACCUACGACGGACACAGAUUUUUGCUCUUUUUUGGAAAAUCCUCUUGUCUGUUUAAUCCGACAGGCACAGAGAAAUUGUUAAUAAUUUCGCAGGAAUAGGGUGAUAAUUGAUUUCAAAAGUACGCCACCCAAGAACCUAACAUGUAUAAGCUUUCUCGAUAAAAUGAAAUAAGAAUUUCAAA